rnacentral:lncRNA from 1 species
AUCUUAGAUGCAAACAGAGGAACAACAGCGAGGUGUCAGGAGCCAAUACCUUGUCCACCCUGGAGCUGUCCCUGGUCUCACUGCACCUGUGACCACCACCAGCAACACCAGGACUGACUCUUUGCUUCACUGAUCCCACAGACCCUGCUGGAGCCAGCGAUGAAGACCUAAAGGGGGUUCCAUGUCCUUCUCAUAGAAGCAGAAGGCCUGGGAAGGUGGACCCAAGGCUAGCAAUUUGCUUAGCAGGUGUCACAGGAAGGGGGUGAGUAUGGCUACUGAGGAUGCCCAAGGAUGUGCCCUGGCUACCGGGCAGCAU